AUUCGAAGUCUAAAAAUUUUAAAUAGCAUAAAUUGGCGAGGAAAUUGACGAGGAAGUAGAUGAGCAAUCAAUCUCUGAGUUCAUUUAGAGUCGAACACGAGCUGACUCGCGAACAGUGAGCUAGCUGGACUAUCAACCCUACUCAUGCAGGCAAAUGAUAUUUCAAAAUCGCAAAUUCUAAAGUCUAAAAAUUUUAAAUAGCAUAAAAUUGACUAGGAAAUAAAUGAGCAAUCAAUUUCGAGUUCAUUUCAAGUCGAAUACAAGCUGACUUGUGAAUAGCGAGCUGGAUUACCAGCUGGCAAAAA
rnacentral:lncRNA from 1 species